GACGAACGCUGGCGGCGUGCUUAACACAUGCAAGUCGAACGGAAAGGCCCUGCUUUUGUGGGAUGCUCGAGUGGCGAACGGGUGAGUAACAAGUGAGUAACCUGCCCUUGACUUUGGGAUAACUUCAGGAAACUGGGGCUAAUACCGGAUAGGAGUUCCUGCUGCAUGGUGGGGGUUGGAAAGUUUCGGCGGUUGGGGAUGGACUCGCGGCUUAUCAGCUUGUUGGUGGGGUAGUGGCUUACCAAGGCUUUGACGGGUAGCCGGCCUGAGAGGGUGACCGGCCACAUUGGGACUGAGAUACGGCCCGGACUCCUACGGGAGGCAGCAGUGGGGAAUAUUGCACAAUGGGCGGAAGCCUGAUGCAGCAACGCCGCGUGCGGGAUGACGGCCUUCGGGUUGUAAACCGCUUUCGCCUGUGACGAAGCGUGAGUGACGGUAAUGGGUAAAGAAGCACCGGCUAACUACGUG
rnacentral:rRNA from 1 species